AGUGCAUAUGGUGGAUGCCUUGGCGAUCACAGGCGAUGAAGGACGUAGUAGCCUGCGAAAAGCUACGGGGAGCUGGCAAACAAGCUUUGAUCCGUAGAUGUCCGAAUGGGGAAACCCACUGCAGCAAUGCAGUAUCCCUAGCUGAAUACAUAGGCUAGUGGAAGCGAACCGGGUGAACUGAAACAUCUCAGUAGCUCGAGGAAAAGAAAUCAACCGAGAUUCCGAAAGUAGUGGCGAGCGAAAUCGGAAGAGCCUUUACGUUUUAGCACGCAAGAUAGUCGAACGGAAUGGAAAGUCCGGCCGUAGCAGGUGAUAGCCCUGUAGGCGAAAUCUUGUGUGUGGAACUAAGCGUAAGACAAGUAGGGCGGGACACGUGAAAUCCUGUUUGAAGAUGGGGGGACCAUCCUCCAAGGCUAAAUACUCGUGAUCGACCGAUAGUGAACCAGUACCGUGAGGGAAAGGCGAAAAGAACCCCGGAAGGGGAGUGAAAUAGAUCCUGAAACCGUAUGCAUACAAACAGUAGGAGCCUCCUUGUGGGGUGACUGCGUACCUUUUGUAUAAUGGGUCAGCGACUUACAUUCAGUGGCAAGGUUAACCGAAUAGGGAAGCCGUAGCGAAAGCGAGUCCGAAUAGGGCGAUUCAGUCGCUGGGUGUAGACCCGAAACCAGAUGAUCUAUCCAUGGCCAGGUUGAAGGCACGGUAACACGUGCUGGAGGACCGAACCCACUAAUGUUGAAAAAUUAGGGGAUGAGCUGUGGAUAGGGGUGAAAGGCUAAACAAAUCUGGAAAUAGCUGGUUCUCUCCGAAAACUAUUUAGGUAGUGCCUCAAGUAUUACUGCGGGGGGUAGAGCACUGUUAUAGCUAGGGGGUCAUGGCGACUUACCAAACUAUGGCAAACUCCGAAUACCCGCAAGUACAGCUUGGGAGACAGAGCACCGGGUGCUAACGUCCGGACUCAAGAGGGAAACAACCCAGACCGCCAGCUAAGGUCCCGAAUUAUCGCUAAGUGGGAAACGAAGUGGGAAGGCAUAGACAGUCAGGAGGUUGGCUUAGAAGCAGCCAUCCUUUAAAGAAAGCGUAAUAGCUCACUGAUCGAGUCGUCCUGCGCGGAAGAUGUAACGGGGCUAAGCGAUAAACCGAAGCUGCGGGUGUGCACUUUUAGUGCACGCGGUAGGAGAGCGUUCUGUAAGCCUGCGAAGGUGGCUUGUAAAGGCUGCUGGAGGUAUCAGAAGUGCGAAUGCUGACAUGAGUAGCGAUAAAGGGGGUGAAAAGCCCCCUCGCCGUAAGUCCAAGGUUUCCUGCGCAACGUUCAUCGGCGCAGGGUGAGUCGGCCCCUAAGGCGAGGCAGAGAUGCGUAGCUGAUGGGAAACUGGUUAAUAUUCCAGUACCGUCGUACAGUGCGAUGGGGGGACGGAUCGCGGAAGAUCAUCAGGGUGUUGGAUGUCCCUGUUGCUGUAUCGAAGAUGGCGCUUAGGCAAAUCCGGGCGCGUAAAUCAAGGGUAUGGCACGAGCGAGCAUUGCUUGCGAAGUGAUUGGAAGUGGUUCCAAGAAAAGCCUCUAAGCUUCAGCUGUACGAGACCGUACCGCAAACCGACACAGGUGGACGGGAUGAAUAUUCCAAGGCGCUUGAGAGAACUCAGGAGAAGGAACUCGGCAAAUUGAUACCGUAACUUCGGGAGAAGGUAUACCCCGGUAGUGUGAAGCGCCUGCGCGCUUAGCAUGAUGGGGUCGCAGAGAAUCGGUGGCUGCGACUGUUUAUUAAAAACACAGCACUCUGCAAAGACGAAAGUCGACGUAUAGGGUGUGACGCCUGCCCGGUGCCGGAAGGUUAAGUGAUGGGGUGCAAGCUCUUGAUCGAAGCCCCGGUAAACGGCGGCCGUAACUAUAACGGUCCUAAGGUAGCGAAAUUCCUUGUCGGGUAAGUUCCGACCUGCACGAAUGGCGUAACGAUGGCCACACUGUCUCCUCCUGAGACUCAGCGAAGUUGA
rnacentral:rRNA from 1 species